UACGAAGGGGGCUAGCGUUGCUCGGAUUGACUGGGCGUAAAGGGCGCGUAGGCGGUUUGUACAGUCAGACGUGAAAUUCCCGGGCUCAACCUGGGGGCUGCGUUUGAUACGUGCAGACUUGAGUUCGGAAGAGGGUCGUGGAAUUCCCAGUGUAGAGGUGAAAUUCGUAGAUAUUGGGAAGAACACCAGUGGCGAAGGCGGCUAUCUGGACGGUUUCUGACACUAAGACUCGAAAGCGUGGGGAGCAAACAGG
rnacentral:rRNA from 1 species